UACGGAGGGUGCAAGCGUUGUCCGGAUUUAUUGGGCUUAAAGGGUGCGUAGGCGGCCCGUUAAGUCAGUGGUGAAAGCCUCCAGCUCAACUGGAGAACUGCCAUUGAUACUGACGGGCUUGAGUACAGACGAGGUAGGCGGAAUUGAUUGUGUAGCGGUGAAAUGCAUAGAUACAAUCAAGAACUCCGAUUGCGUAGGCAGCUUACUAGGCUGUAACUGACGCUGAGGCACGAAAGCGUGGGGAGCGAACAGG
rnacentral:rRNA from 1 species